UACGUAGGGUGCAAGCGUUGUCCGGAAUUAUUGGGCGUAAAGAGCACGUAGGCGGAUGUGUCAGUCAGGGGUGAAAUCCCGGAGCUCAACUUCGGAACUGCCUUUGAUACAGCACAUCUGGAGUCCGGAAGAGGUGGGUGGAAUUCCUAGUGUAGAGGUGAAAUUCGUAGAUAUUAGGAAGAACACCGGUGGCGAAGGCGGCCCACUGGUCCGGUACUGACGCUGAGGUGCGAAAGCGUGGGGAGCAAACAGG
rnacentral:rRNA from 1 species